rnacentral:pre_miRNA from 1 species
UCCUUGGGCCUGGUCCAAAGCUCAUUGAAGUCAAUGGGAUGUUUUCCAUUUACUUCAGUGAGCUUUGGGUCAGGCCCUGCAUGA